GCUGUAGACAGAAUCAUUAAAAAGACAAUUGUCUUUCGGUGGUAUAUUUUCAUUCAGGAUUCAAUAGGUUAAUUACCCCCUUUUUCUGUUGAUCCACCAGGCCUGAGACUGGAACUUAGAGAAGCUACAUCCUGAAGUUGACUGGACGUUGUCAGGGAAAAAAAACUGAAGUGAAAAUCAGAAGCAUUUUUCCUAUGAAGAACACUGUUGAAGAUAAGUUUGUCCUUUUUUGGUAAAUUUGGUUAUACGUUGAGCUCACAGAUGUUUAAAACAUUUAGUUUUGUGAUAAUUUAAAUUAAACAAUUGUGUCAAAUUGACUGUUUGGUCUUUAAUGUUUUUAAACAUUGUAGACAUUUAGGUCUGGCUUGUCUCCCACUGCCAAGUUCAUUUCCUACUAAAGACUUGUCUGCCCUUCUGUGGCAUUUAGAAAAUGUGUUGGGAGGCCUCCCAGCAGAGGAAUGUUGUAACUUUGUCCUCUGCAAAAAAUUAAUUCGAUACACGCAGGGCCAAGCUGGCGAACUUAUUAAUACACUGAAGUAAUGUGGUAGGCACACAGAUUAGAUUGCGCGUUUAGGGUUUUCAGAAGAAAAUGUGCUUGGCUAAGAGACAAUCCAAUACUCAUUAAAGAUUAAGAUAAUAUUUACUACUACUUUAAAAAUGUUUUAAGUAAUUCUGUGAGCUAACUAGCAGAACGUAAAGGAACUGAUAGGCUUCUGCUACUGAUGGUAAUGUCUGCUGAAUUAAAAUUUUUUUUCUUUGUUUUUCCUUCCCCUUGUCCUCUGUUGGCAGAUGUUGACUGGGUGCUGCAGAGAGGAUCAUUAAAAAAAUAAGUUUGUUUUUCAGUGGUAUGUUUGCAUUCAGGAUCUGUUAGGUUAAUUACCCCCUUUUGAUCUACUAGACCAGAGACUGGAACUUGGAGAAGCUACAUCCAGUGACGAGAUGUACAGGAAACCUGAUGACCAUGUGAAAAGCAGAAGCAUCGUUCCUAUGAAGAACACUAUUAAAAAGUUAAGUUUGUCCUUUUUUGGUAUAUAAAGUUUAUGAUGC